rnacentral:misc_RNA from 1 species
ACAUCACGAAACAAACGAGUUUAGGUCCUUUGGCAGGCGCGGUCAGCAUGAGCCGACGCCCGAAGGCGGCCUGCCAAAGCAACAAAGGUAUGUAUACACGGUUUGGGAAUAGAACCCAUUUCAAAAAACGGGGCAUUCUUUAAUGAUCCUUCCGCAGGUUCACCUACGGAAACCUUGUUACGACUUUUACUUCCUCUAAAUGACCAAGA